rnacentral:rRNA from 1 species
AACGAACGCUGGCGGCAUGCCUAACACAUGCAAGUCGAACGAGACCUUCGGGUCUAGUGGCGCACGGGUGCGUAACGCGUGGGAACCUGCCCUUAGGUUCGGAAUAACUCCCCGAAAGGGGUGCUAAUACCGGAUAAUGUCUUCGGACCAAAGAUUUAUCGCCUUUGGAUGGGCCCGCGUUGGAUUAGCUAGUUGGUAGGGUAAAAGCCUACCAAGGCGACGAUCCAUAGCUGGUCUGAGAGGAUGAUCAGCCACACUGGGACUGAGACACGGCCCAGACUCCUACGGGAGGGAGCAGUGGGGAAUAUUGGACGAUGGGCGAAAGCCUGAUCAAGCAAUGCCGCGUGAGUGAUGAAGGCCUUAGGGUUGUAAAGCUCUUUUACCCGGGAUGAUAAUGACAGUACCGGGAGAAUAAGCUCCGGCUAACUCCGUG